GACGAACGCUGGCGGCGUGCUUAACACAUGCAAGUCGAGCGAGGUGGCGAACGGGUGAGUCAUACGUGACUAACCUGCCCUCCUUUAUGGGAUAAGCCUUGGAAACGGGGUCUAAUACAGAAUAAAGGGGGAUGGGCGCGCGGGCUAUCAGCUUGUUGGUGGGGUGAUGGCCGCCAAAGGCGGUGACUGGUCGCCGGCGAUGGUGGGUGACAGGACAAAUUGGGAAUGAGAGACGGCCCAGCGUCCUACGGGAGGCAGGAGUGGGGGAUAGUGGACAAGGGGCGAAAGCCGGAUGCAGCGGUGUGGGGUGGGGGAUGUAGGAUUUUGGGGUGGAAACAGCUGGCGCGAACGAACGGGUAGGUGGAGAAGAAGCGCCGGCUAACUACGUGCCAGCAGCCGCGGUAAUAC
rnacentral:rRNA from 1 species